GAUGCCACGUGUAGUUACAUUUACAGGUAGGUGCACGUCAGGUUACGGAGUAGGGUUCGGAGGGGGUUGCGGUUACGACGUGCCUUCACAAAAGUAUUAAAUCCCGGUGACGUGCACAGAUCCCGUCACAUGUGCACGUGGGGUUUGGAGACACUUUGCAGGCUUCCAGCUUCUCACAGACCCACAAAGCACAGCUGCAGACAGGAACACACCAUGGCCGCUCAUCACUGUGGCUCAUUCUCUGAAGAUUUUGGAAGUGAUUCUGAUUAUUAUGAUUCAGAUGUGGUCCACACAGACAGCAGCAACUCUGAAGACAAAUGCUUCACCUGCAGUUUGCCACAGCAGACAGGAUAUGGAAAAAGUGCAGCUCCUCCAUGCACGUAACACAGAGUGCAAUUAUGUUCUGUGUUUAAAAUAAGUCCACAUGCUGGACAUGCUAAAAAGUUGUGCCUUGUUAUUAGUGCUUUAUAACAGCAAGACAUUUGAAUAUUUAACAAUUUCUGUUAUGUUCUGACUUUGUGCCUUGUCUGUUAAGAUUUCAACAUUACUGUUCUGUCAUGAAUAUUCUAUACUGUC